rnacentral:rRNA from 1 species
CGCGGCCUAUCAGCUUGUUGGUGAGGUAAUGGCUCACCAAGGCGUCGACGGGUAGCCGGCCUGAGAGGGUGACCGGCCACACUGGGACUGAGACACGGCCCAGACUCCUACGGGAGGCAGCAGUGGGGAAUAUUGCGCAAUGGGCGAAAGCCUGAUGCAGCAACGCCGCGUGAGGGAUGACGGCCUUCGGGUUGUAAACCUCUUUUAGCAGGGAAGAAGCGAAAGUGACGGUACCUGCAGAAAAAGCGCCGGCUAACUACGUGCCAGCAGCCGCGGUAAUACGUAGGGCGCAAGCGUUAUCCGGAAUUAUUGGGCGUAAAGAGCUCGUAGGCGGUUUGUCGCGUCUGCUGUGAAAUCCCGAGGCUCAACCUCGGGCCUGCAGUGGGUACGGGCAGACUAGAGUGCGGUAGGGGAGAUUGGAAUUCCUGGUGUAGCGGUGGAAUGCGCAGAUAUCAGGAGGAACACCGAUGGCGAAGGCAGAUCUCUGGGCCGUAACUGACGCUGAGGAGCGAAAGGGUGGGGAGCAAACAGGCUUAGAUACCCUGGUAGUCCACCCCGUAAACGUUGGGAACUAGUUGUGGGGACCAUUCCACGGUUUCCGUGACGCAGCUAACGCAUUAAGUUCCCCGCCUGGGGAGUACGG